UACGGUAGGGGGCGAGCGUUGUCCGGAAUGAUUGGGCGUAAAGGGCGCGUAGGCGGCUGAUUAAGUCUGGAGUGGAAGUCCUUAUUUUCAAGGUAGGAAUUGCUUUGGAAACUGGGCAGCUAGAGGGCAGCAGAGGGGCGUGGAAUUCCGGGUGGAGUGGUGAAAUGCGUAGAGAUCCGGAGGAACACCAGAGGCGAAGGCGGCGCCCUGGGCUGCACCUGACGCUGAGCCGCGAAAGCCAAGGUAGCGAACGGGAUUAGAUACCCGGGUAGUCCCUGA
rnacentral:rRNA from 1 species